rnacentral:rRNA from 1 species
UACGUAGGGUGCAAGCGUUAAUCGGAAUUACUGGGCGUAAAGCGUGCGCAGGCGGUUUUGUAAGUUUGUCGUGAAAGCCCCGGGCUCAACCUGGGAAUUGCGAUGAAGACUGCAAGGCUUGAAUCUGGCAGAGGGGGGUAGAAUUCCACGUGUAGCAGUGAAAUGCGUAGAGAUGUGGAGGAAUACCGAUGGCGAAGGCAGCCUCCUGGGCCAACACUGACGCUCAUGCACGAAAGCGUGGGGAGCAAACAGG